rnacentral:rRNA from 1 species
AUACGUAGGUGGCGAGCGUUGUCCGGAAUUAUUGGGCGUAAAGCGCGCGCAGGUGGUUCCUUAAGUCUGAUGUGAAAGCCCCCGGCUCAACCGGGGAGGGUCAUUGGAAACUGGGGAACUUGAGUGCAGAAGAGGAUAGUGGAAUUCCAAGUGUAGCGGUGAAAUGCGUAGAGAUUUGGAGGAACACCAGUGGCGAAGGCGACUGUCUGGUCUGUAACUGACACUGAGGCGCGAAAGCGUGGGGAGCAAACAGGAUUAGAUACCCUGGUAGUCCACGCCGUAAACGAUGAGUGCUAAGUGUUGGGGGGUUUCCGCCCCUCAGUGCUGCAGCUAACGCAUUAAGCACUCCGCCUGGGGAGUACGGUCGCAAGACUGAAACUCAAAGGAAUUGACGGGG